rnacentral:rRNA from 1 species
UAGGUCUGGCCUGCCCUAUGAUGAUAAAUUUAACGGCCGCGGUAUUUUGACCGUGCAAAGGUAGCAUAAUCAUUAGUUUUUUAAUUGAAAGCUUGUAUGAAAGGUUUGAUGAGAAAAAGACUGUCUCUAUUUAAAUUAGAUAGAAUUUUAUUUUUAAGUGAAAAAGCUUAAAUWWUWUWUAGAAGACGAGAAGACCCUAUAGAGUUUUAUAAUUAUUUUUAUAGAUAAAAUUUUAGUAUUUUCUAGUUUAUAAGUAUAAUUAUUUAGUUGGGGUGAUUGAAAAAUUGAUUAAACUUUUUUUUUAUUUAAACAUUAAUUUAUGAUUAAAUGAUCCUUUAAUUAAGAUUAAAAGAUAAAAUUACCUUAGGGAUAACAGCGUGAUUUUUUUUUAAGUUCUAAUCGAAAAAAAAGAUUGCGACCUCGAUGUUGGAUUAAAARAAAUUAUUGGUGAARAAGCGAAUAAAUUAGGUCUGUUCGACCUUUAAAAUUUUACAUGAUCUGAGUUUAAACCGGUGUGAGCCAGUUC